CUACCACAUCCAAGGAAGGCAGCAGGCGCGCAAAUUACCCACUCCCGGCCCGGGGAGGUAGUGACGAAAAAUAACGAUACGGGACUCUUUUGAGACCCCGUAAUUGGAAUGAGUACACUCUAAAUCCUUUAACGAGGACCCAUUGGAGGGCAAGUCUGGUGCCAGCAGCCGCGGUAAUUCCAGCUCCAAUAGCGUAUAUUAAAGUUGUUGCGGUUAAAAAGCUCGUAGUUGGAUCUCAGUUCCGGCCGGGCGGUUCGCCUAACGGCGGAGACUGCCCGCGCCGAACAGCCGGCCGGUUUCCCCCGAUGAUCUUCACCGGUUGUCUCGGGUGACCGGCGAGUUUACUUUGAAAAAAUUAGAGUGCUCAGAGCAGGCGCGACGCCUGGAUAAUGGUGCAUGGAAUAAUGGAAUAGGACCUCGGUUCUGUUCUGUUGGUCUUCGGGACACGAGGUAAUGAUUAAGAGGGACAGACGGGGGCAUUCGUAUUGCGACGCUAGAGGUGAAAUUCUUGGACCGUCGCAAGACGAACUACUGCGAAAGCAUUUGCCAAGAAUGUUUCCAUUAAUCAAGAACGAAAGUUAGAGGUUCGAAGGCGAUCAGAUACCGCCCUAGUUCUAACCAUAAACGAUGCCAGCCAGCGAUCCGGAUGCGUUCCUCAAAUGACGCUCCGGGCAGCUUCCGGGAAACCAAAGCUUUUGGGUUCCGGGGGGAGUAUGGUU
rnacentral:rRNA from 1 species